rnacentral:rRNA from 1 species
ACAAGUACCGUGAGGGAAAGUUGAAAAGCACUUUGAAAAGAGAGUGCAAGAGAACGUGAAACCGUUAUAGUGGAAGCGGAUGGAGCCGACGUUUCCAGUGCGUAUUCAGUUGUUGACGGGUGCGAUUUGUUCGUUCGGAGUUCUGCAAAGUCUCCACCGGGCAUUGUUGUAUUCGUUGGCAAUGCAUUUGCGUACAGAGUGCGCCGAAUCGGUUGAACUCGUUGUUUGAGGGGCGUGUAGAGGACCACUCUUCGGAGUGGAAACCUGUGUGCUCGGAGAACAAAUGAGUCUAGCUGUUGAUGGUCUUUCGUUGCGUUUGCGUGCAGCUUUGGCCGCCUAGGUACAGCACAUGUGUUUUGCCUUUGUAGUCAGGGUUGUGUGUUUGCGUUGUUUGGCCGAACAUUCGGUGUUCAGUCGGUCACCCAUUCGACCCGUCUUGAAACACGGACCAAGGAGUUUAAGGUGUACGCAAGUCAUUGGGUGUGUAAAGCUCAAAGGCGAAAUGAAAGUGGGACACUUAGUGUCUGUGGUGCGAUCCUUGGUCGAUUCGUUGGCCUAGGAGCAGCAUCGACCCAUGACUAGAACUUGUUCUGUUGUGGAGUCUGAGCGUACGCUCUGAGACCCGAAAGAUGGUGAACUAUGCCCGAACAGGACGAAGUCAGAGGAAACUCUGAUGGAAGUCCGAAGCGGUUCUGACGUGCAAAUCGAUCGUCUGAUUUGGGUAUAGGGGCGCAAGACUAAUCGAACCAUCUAGUAGCUGGUUCCUUCCGA